UUUCAAUUGUUGUUAUUGUAUCAGUCAUCCAAGCUGCAUUUGUUGCAUGUAACUAUGGUACGCAACAAUGUCCAGCAAGAGUCGACAGUGGUGGAAACUGUCGCAUUUUCGGCCUGACUAUUCCACCUGGUACGACUGUGACGUCUCGAAACCCCUGUGUUAAAGUGACGUGCCAGAAUAAUGGCGACAUGGUGGUAUCAGGGUGUGCUGCCACCGCUGGGAAUGCCCAACAUGCCCCCGGAGCGCCGAGCGGAGCGGGCGUCCAGCCAUAUCCAGCCUGCUGUACAAGCUGUGGCCCGAUUCGUCAAGCCCAUUAAAAAACCGUCCAUGUUACUUCAAAGCAGCUGCUGAAUGCUUCG
rnacentral:lncRNA from 1 species